rnacentral:rRNA from 1 species
UAAAGUAAUUAAGGGCGCAUGGUGGAUGCCUUGGCUCUCAGAGACGAUGAAGGACGUGAUAAGCUGCGAUAAGCUCCGGGGAUUGGCAAAUACGAUUCGAUCCGGGGAUUUCCGAAUGGGGCAACCCGGUCCAAUGAAGUUGGAUCAUCCUUCGGGAUGUUAACCCAGAGAACUGAAACAUCUAAGUACCUGGUGGAAAAGAAAAUAAUUUAAUGAUUUCCCAAGUAGUGGCGAGCGAACGGGAAACAGCCCAAACCUCAUUUGUUAAGGCAAAUGGGGGGUUGUAGGACUGCAAUAUGACAGUAAAAAUGAAGUUGAAGCUUCUGGAAAGCAGCAUCAUAGAGGGUGAUAAUCCCGUAAACGUAAGUUUUUAUUCGAUAGCAGUAUCCUGAGUACCACGAGGUCGGAGACGCCUUGUGGGAAUCUGCCGGCACCAUCCGGUAAGGCUAAAUACUCCUGAGAGACCGAUAGUGAACUAGUACCGUGAGGGAAAGGUGAAAAGAACCUCGAACAGAGGAGUGAAAUAGAACCUGAAACCAUGCGCUUACAAGCGGUAGGAGCUCUGUACUUGUACAGAGUGACUGCGUGCCUUUUGCAUAAUGAGCCUACGAGUUACUCCUCUCUGGCAAGGUUAAGGACUGAAGGUCCGGAGCCGAAGCGAAAGCAAGUCUGAAUAGGGCGUAUAGUCAGAGGGGGUAGACGCGAAACUUUGUGAUCUACCCAUGACCAGGUUGAAGCCCCGAUAACACGGGGUGGAGGACCGAACCAGUAAACGUUGAAAAGUUUUUGGAUGAGUUGUGGGUAGGGGUGAAAGGCUAAUCAAACUGAGAAAUAGCUCGUACUCCCCGAAAUGUUUUUAGGAACAGCCUCGAGGUUGAGUCAUAUAGAGGUAGAGCUACUGAUUGGACUAGGGGGCUUCACCGCCUACCAAAUCCUGACAAACUCCGAAUACUAUGACAUAUAUCCAGGAGUGAGGCAUAGGGUGCUAAUGUCCUGUGCCAAGAGGGAAAUAACCCAGACCAUCAGCUAAGGUCCCCAAAUAUAUGCUAAGUUGAUCUAACGAAGUCUGAUUGCAUUGACAGCUAGGAUGUUGGCUUGGAAGCAGCCAUUCAUUUAAAGAGUGCGUAACAGCUCACUAGUCGAGCGAUAGGGCGUGGAUAAUAAGCGGGCAUUAAGCAUAAUACCGAAGCUAUGGAUUUAUAGUAAUAUAACUGGUAGGGGAGCAUUCUAAACACACAGAAGGUGAUCUGUAAGGGUUGCUGGAGAGUUUAGAAAAGCAAAUGUAGGCAUAAGUAACGAUAAUGCGGGCGAGAAACCCGCACACCGUAAGACUAAGGUUUCCUGAUCAACGCUAAUCGGAUCAGGGUUAGUCGGGUCCUAAGGCGAAUCCGAACGGAGUAGUCGAUGGAUAACAGGUUAAUAUUCCUGUACUGACGUUAUCUGUGAUGGGAGGACGGAGGAGUGAAAGGUCUGCGCACUGACGGAAUAGUGCGUUAAAGCUUGUAGAUAUAGGUUCUGUAGGAAAAUCCGCAGAAUUUGUCGAAGGUGAUAGUACGAGGAGUCUUCGGACGAAUUGAUAAUGACCCUAAUCAGACUUUCAAGAAAAUUCCCUAAACUUAAGGUAACGCCACCCGUACCGCAAUCCGACACAGGUAGUCGAGGAGAGUAUCCUCAGGUGCUAGAGUGAAUCACGGCUAAGGAACUAGGCAAAUUAGCUCUGUAACUUCGGGAAAAAGAGCGCUUCGAGCAAUCGAAGCCGCAGUGAAAAGAUCCAGGCAACUGUUUAACAAAAACACAUGGCUUUGCUAAAUCGAAAGAUGAUGUAUAAGGCCUGACACCUGCCCGGUGCUGGAAGGUUAAGAGGAGAGGUUAGUAGUAAUACGAAGCUUUGAAUUGAAGCCCCAGUAAACGGCGGCCGUAACUAUAACGGUCCUAAGGUAGCGAAAUUCCUUGUCGGGU